AGGAAUAUUGUCAAGACCAGGGGUUGUA
rnacentral:sRNA from 1 species